rnacentral:rRNA from 1 species
GAUGAACGCUGGCGGCGUGCUUAACACAUGCAAGUCGAACGAAGCAUUUGCGACAGAUUUUUUCGGAAUGAAGUUGCUUAUGACUGAGUGGCGGACGGGUGAGUAACGCGUGGGUAACCUGCCUUGUACUGGGGGAUAGCAGCUGGAAACGGCUGGUAAUACCGCAUAAGCGCACAAUGUUGCAUGACAUGGUGUGAAAAACUCCGGUGGUAUAAGAUGGACCCGCGUCUGAUUAGCCAGUUGGUGAGAUAACAGCCCACCAAGGCGACGAACAGUAGCCGACCGGAGAGGGGGACCGGCCACAAUGGGACUGAGACACGGCCCAGACUCCUACGGGAGGCAGCAGUGGGGAAUAUUGCACAAGGGAGGAAACUCUGAUGCAGCGACGCCGCGUGAGUGAAGAAGUAAGUCGUUAUGUAAAGCUCUAUCAGCAGGGAAGAGAGUGACGGUACCGGACGAAGAAGCUCCGGCUAAAUACGUG